GAUGAACGCUGGCGGCGUGCCUAAUACAUGCAAGUCGAGCGAAUGGAUUAAGAGCUUGCUCUUAUGAAGUUAGCGGCGGACGGGUGAGUAACACGUGGGUAACCUGCCCAUAAGACUGGGAUAACUCCGGGAAACCGGGGCUAAUACCGGAUAACAUUUUGAACCGCAUGGUUCUAAAUUGAAAGGCGGCUUCGGCUGUCACUUAUGGAUGGACCCGCGUCGCAUUAGCUAGUUGGUGAGGUAACGGCGCACCAAGGCAACGAUGCGUAGCCGACCUGGGAGGGUGAUCGGCCACACUGGGACUGAGACACGGCCCAGACUCCUACGGGAGGCAGCAGUAGGGAAUCUUCCGCAAUGGACGAAAGUCUGACGGAGCAACGCCGCGUGAGUGAUGAAGGCUUUCGGGUCGUAAAACUCUGUUGUUAGGGAAGAACAAGUGCUAGUUGAAUAAGCUGGCACCUUGACGGUACCUAACCAGAAAGCCACGGCUAACUACGUGCCAGCAGCCGCAGUAA
rnacentral:rRNA from 1 species